rnacentral:lncRNA from 1 species
CAGCAGCAUAUAGAUGCCACACUUUGCCUAGGGUAGAGUUUACUUUGUUUUGUUUUAUCACCUACUUUUUGAACACCCAAUACAUCCCAGGCACUGGGAUAGGCUAUAGAAACAUGCAGACACAAAGGCCCAAUCACUACACUUCAGGGACUCAUUGUUUACCGUGGGGCAAAGGGCUGCCAGGGGCAAGAUGGUGGACAGAGCCUUUGCACUCACCUUUCCUCUUCGCAAGUCCCAACAUGCUAUUAAACGAAGCAGUGACUAUAGCUGGAGACUGGAGUGGAGCCAAAGUGCUGAACAUCUUGCAGAGUGGAGUUAAGGGUAACCCACAAAUUGAACACUGGCAACUCUCACCUCUGCACCUGGAAAACUAG